rnacentral:rRNA from 1 species
CCUACGGGCGGCAGCAGUGGGGAAUAUUGGACAAUGGGCGAAAGCCUGAUCCAGCCAUGCCGCGUGUGUGAAGAAGGCCUUCGGGUUGUAAAGCACUUUCAGUGGGGAAGAAAGCCUUGGGGCUAAUACCCUCGAGGAAGGACAUCACCCACAGAAGAAGCAACGGCUAACUCCGUGCCAGCAGCCGCGGUAAUACGGAGGGUGCGAGCGUUAAUCGGAAUUACUGGGCGUAAAGCGCGCGUAGGCGGUCUGAUAAGCCGGUUGUGAAAGCCCCGGGCUCAACCUGGGAACGGCAUCCGGAACUGUCAGGCUAGAGUGCAGGAGAGGAAGGUAGAAUUCCCGGUGUAGCGGUGAAAUGCGUAGAGAUCGGGAGGAAUACCAGUGGCGAAGGCGGCCUUCUGGACUGACACUGACGCUGAGGUGCGAAAGCGUGGGUAGCAAACAGGAUUAGAUACCCUAGUAGUC